UUUGACCUGAAAUCAGGUAGGGC
rnacentral:rRNA from 1 species